CCAAUAGCGUAUAUUAAAGUUGUUGCAGUUAAAAAGCUCGUAGUUGAAUUUCGGGACCAAUAUGUCGGUCGUGCUUCGGUACGUACUUGCACUAUUGGUUUCUCCCUUCUGAAGAACCAUGAUGUCAUUAAUUUGAUGUCUUGGGGAAUCAGGACUGUUACUUUGAAAAAAUUAGAGUGUUUAAAGCAGGCUCACGCUUGAAUACAUUAGCAUGGAAUAAUGAAAUAGGACGUUUGAUUCUAUUUUGUUGGUUUCUAGGAUCGACGUAAUGAUUAAUAGGGAUAGUUGGGGGCAUUAGUAUUCAAUUGUCAGAGGUGAAAUUCUUGGAUUUAUUGAAGACUAACUACUGCGAAAGCAUUUGCCAAGGAUGUUUUCAUUAAUCAAGAACGAAAGUUAGGGGAUCGAAGACGAUCAGAUACCGUCGUAGUCUUAACCAUAAACUAUGCCGACUAGGGAUCGGAUGAUGUUAAUUUUCUAAUGACUCAUUCGGCGCCUUACG
rnacentral:rRNA from 1 species